UAAGAGGUUGUGUGAGCACACAGAAGGCAGCUGCCUAUAAUUUAAGAGAAGAGAGCUCAGAAUGAAACCUACAUUGCUGGCACCUUGAUCUUGGAUUUCCCAGACUCUAGAACUGAUCACCAGUAAAAAGUUCAAAUAUUUUAAAAGAAGUGGUAUUAGUGGCCAUUCUUGGCUCAUUCCUAAUACCAAAUUGAAAUCAACAUUCCACCAUUAAGUAUAGUUAUAUUUGAAGAAACUUGGGUGCUAACAAUGUAAAGAAGAGUUAUGAGAUCAGCAUCGAGGGGAGGAUAGAAGUCCCAGAUGGGAUGAAUCCACAUAAUAUAGAGUGUUUGUUACUUACCUCUCCUCUCACUGUCUCACUGCCUUGUCUCACUUCUUUCACUGUAAAUAUUUCUUUACAGAUAUUUGUUGAACAAAUUAAUGACAAUAUAGUUAUCCCACAGUGACUAAUUUUUUUCUUUAGCCAUUAGUUUAUGGUUAGUGAUAGACUAAUUGUCUGUUAUUAAAAAAAUAAAAUAAAAAGCUUGAUAGAGAAACAAGGUUUCUUAUUCCUGAUCUCUUACGCUGGCAUUUCUUUUAUUGGCCCCAAAUUAUAUACUGACUGCAGAUAAUUAUGCUAAUUUCCUCAGCUGAUUUCUUAGUAACACAACUCUGGGAAAAUAUUAUAAAACUCUGAGGGAGUUGUCUUGAAAGGGGCAAGAACCAGGCCUAAAUAAAUAAACAUUUUAAAAAUUAGAAGAAUAAAAAGCUCUUUAUUAUUGCUUCCACAUUCUAGAGAAGAGAAUGUGUUCUUUACUCUCUCAGAAUGUUUAAUGACAUGUAUCAUGUGAAUUUUUAAGUGGAUCUUUAAGAUCUUUAAGUCAUUCAUUCAUUCUUUUAUUUAUUUGCAUGCAUACUUUGCUUCAUAGUUAAUGAGUUCUUUAAUUCAAGAUAUGGCAUGCAACCAGUUUCACUGAAAUUUCACAAAGUGGGUGCUUGUAGAAAGUGGUGUCUUUUCACUUCUAAUUAUUUAAAGAGCAAGGUCUUGAAUUUGAUGUUACUUAUUUUAGACAUUAACCCUUGAACUGAUUUUCUAGAUACAAUAGCAAAGAAAUCCCAGGCAUUCUGCAAGUUGAUACAAAGAAAAGCAGAAUAACUACUUCUAAGACUCACAAAGCUGUCAUUGUUCAGACAGUGAAAUAUAUACUUGAAAUCUUAUUUUUUAAAAGGCUUUUUGGAAAAAAAUUCAGAGUCCUUUUAUGGAUGUUCCCUGGUUUUUAUUUUUAAGAAUAAAGUUUAAGACUACUUAUUGCGAAAGACAUUGCCAUGAAUAUAGUAGUUGGUUUACCUAAAGUACAUGCCCUUAAAUGCAAAAUACAAGGCGGUUAUUAUUUAAAGGAGUCAUGAAUCUUCAGUUCUUGGUGUGAUAAAUGUGAAAAAUGAUUGACAGCCAUGAAGAUGAAAAGGGAAAAGCAAAUUUUUACACAAUUCUUUCAAAAUGCCAUCUAAAUGUAGAAAAAAGUAGGCAAAGAUGAUAUGGGUAUAACAGAAUGAUAUGUUAUAUUUAUAUACCAAGAAAGCACUAUUAAAAUAUGCUUCUUUAUCACAUAUGUUUGCUAGUUUGCUUACAGCUAAACAUGGUUUGUCUUAUUUAUAACAUUACUAUGCUAAAAUUUGGCUGAUUCUAGUUAAAAUAUACAUACUGGGAAAUAUUUUUAGUGCUUAUUAGAUUUAUAGAGAUUACUGCUGUGCUAUUCACAGGAAAAUAUUUCAAUAUUGUUCUAAGCCAGUGCUCUCGGAGAAAACUUUAUGUGAUGAUGGAAAUGUUCUCUGUGUUGUGCAAUACAGUGGCCACAAGCCACAUGUGGUUACUGAGCACUUGGAAUGUGGCUAGUACAACUAAAGAAAUGCACUUUAAAAGUUUAUUUAAUUUUAGCUAAUUUAAAUUUCAUAUUAAAUAUCCACACGUGGCUAACAUACUAUACAGCACAUUAUUUCCAUGUAUGUGAGUUAAAACACAUAAACUACUUAGAACAGUAUUUGGCAGAUAAUUAGUACUUAUUAGCUUGCUAUUAAUGUUGCUAUUGUUAUUAAUAUGCUUAAAGUAUAUUUUGGGAAAGAGCAGGUUGGUCACGUGAAUCCAGUUAGCAAUAAGAUAUUGUCUUAAAUAUUUGUGCACUCAAAGUCCUAAGAAUCUGUCAGCACUACUCAUUAGUAUCUGUUCUCCUGACAUCCACCAGCUUAAAAAAAAAAAAUUGUUUUCAAUAGAUUCUCUGUCCAUUGUGAAAUCUGAGAUGUUUUUAUGAUUUAAAGCUGAGUUAUAUAAUUUGUGGACUCCGUAUACUUCCUGUUGUCCCUUCCUCUAUUUUUCUUCUUCCUUUGCCUAUUUUAAAAAUCACAAUGGUGCAAAUUUGGACUUAUAUCAAAAAGU